GUUCCCUUCGGGGAACCAGUACAGCGGCAGACGGGUGAGUAACGCGUGAUCAAUCUGCCCUUGGGAGAGGAAUAGCCAUUCGAAAGAGUGAGUAAUACCUCAUAAGACUACAGCAUCGCAUGGUGCAGUGGUAAAAAGGUUGGGAUCUUCGGACCUUCCGCCCAAGGAUGAGAUCGCGUCCUAUUAGCUUGUUGGUGAGGUAACGGCUCACCAAGGCAGCGAUGGGUAGCCGGCCUUAGCGGGUGGACGGCCACACUGGAACUGAGACACGGUCCAGACUCCUACGGGAGGCUGCAGUGCUGAAUUAUUCGCCAAUGCGCGAAAGCGUGACGGUGCGACGCCGCGUGCGGGACGAAGGCCCUAGGGUCGUAAACCGCUGUCAGGGCUUCGGAAACCGUAGAGGUUAAUAGCCUCUGCGCUGACCAGGCCCAAAGGAAGCACAGGCUAAUCUCGUGCCAGCAGCCGCGGUAAUACGAGAUGUGCGAGCGUUGUUCGGAAUUACUGGGCAUAAAGGGUGCGCAGGCGGCCAUGUAAGUCAGGUGUGAAAUCCCUCGGCUCAACCGGGGAAUUGCAUCUGAUACUGCAUGGCUUGAGAACGAAAGGGGCAAGCGGAAUUCCAGGUGUAGCGGUGGAAUGCGUAGAUAUCUGGGAGAACGCCAAUGGCGAAGGCAGCUUGCUGGGUCGUUCCUGACGCUCAUGCACGAAAGCUAGGGGAGCAAACAGGAUUAGAUACCCUGGUAGUCCUAGCUGUAAACGAUGGGUACUAGGUUCCGGGAUUCCUGAUGAUUUCGGAGCCGCAGUUAAUGCGUUAAGUACCCCGCCUGGGGAGUAUGGUCGCAAGGCUAAAAACUCAAAGGAAUUGACGGGGGCUCACACAAGCGGUGGAGCAUGUUGUUCAAUUCGAAGCAA
rnacentral:rRNA from 1 species